CCCUUAGAUGUUCUGGGCGGCCCGCGCACUACAUUGGCACUGGCAACAAGAUCCUAGAUCUGGUAUUUCGGGGUAUUCUACCAACUGGUGUCGUGACUGGGAUUAACCCCUGCAAUUAUUGGUUAUGAACGAGGAAUUCCUUGUAAUCACGGUUUAUCAACCCGUGUUGAAUGCGUCCCUGCCCUUUGUACACACCGCCCGUCGCUCCUACCGAUGAAUCGUCCGGUGAAGUUCAUGGAGUCGCGGCUGCUCCAGCUGUUUUCGAAGUGAAAUGGACCUCAUGAUUUAGCGGAAGGAGAAGUCGUAACA
rnacentral:rRNA from 1 species